AGGAUAAUAGUUUAAAAUAAAACAUUUAACUUGCACUUAAAAAAAAUUGUAUAAAUUUAUCUUA
rnacentral:tRNA from 1 species